AACGCACAUUGCACCUGGCAGCAUUCUGCCAGGUAUGCCUGUCCGAGCGUCAUUUCACCACUCAAGCUCUGCUUGGCGUUGGAGGACCCGCGUUUGCGGGCCGCCGAAAUGAAUCGGCUGUUAUACUUGCAGCUUCCCUGCGUAGUAAUUUUGUGUUACGCUUUGAAACUCUUGUACUACAUGCCGUUAAACCCAUCAAUUUUUUGAAAGGUUGACCUCGGAUCAGGUAGGAAUACCCGCUGAACUUAA
rnacentral:misc_RNA from 2 species